rnacentral:lncRNA from 1 species
UUAUUUUGUAAACUUUUGAAAGUUUUUGUCCAGGGUUUAAAGUGUAACUUUCAAAAGUUACAGGGGGUGUUUUGUAAGAUUCAAAACUUAGGUACAACAACUUCACCACCUUCACAACUUCGGUGACCAAACAGCAAUUUGCCGUCGGCCACCAUACUAACUCGCCGGAAACCUCGUUCCCGGCCUCCCCGAGCUCCCACAAACUCCAGAUAGCAUAUUUGGAAUACCAUAAACGUAAAACCGCCCUCAGAUUCAUCAGAAGCGGCCAUAUUUGGCCAUAGAAUGCAAAACAAAACUCGCCGCCGGCGACUUCCUUUUGAACUCCGGCGAGCCAUUUCCAGACAUCCCACAUAACUGUUGAACAUACACACAAGUUCCUCUCAUCACGCUCUUUCUAAUGAUAUAGAUCACAAUAGCCCAGAAUUUCUAGAUUAAAAACGCCUCUUUUUCAAUUAAGAAAAUUCAUAAACCUCCAAGAACAUUCAAGAACACAACUCCGAGAAUUAAACCAACGUUUCUAUAUGUUAUCGAAGUCAAAAUUCGACAUAUAAUAUACCAAAACGACGAGAAAAACAUGCUCUACAACAUAGAAUCAUCAAAACAACCAAAUAAUAUCAUUUACAAAAAUUCAUCCUUUAAAUCAAAAUAGCUCGAAUUUUGUAAAAUUUAUGUAAAAUCACCUGAUAAAUCUGCAUACAAACGGGUGAUUAAACAUGAUUCUACGCGUCGAUAGCUUCGUUUUGACUAUUCGUACACCUCCAUCGGAUUCCAAUAACACCUCCAAAUCCUCGUUUGAUUAUGAAGAACACGAAGAACACCGCUCGGUUUCUCUCGGUAUUUGUGAAAAGAAACUGGUGAAAAUGAUUUCUACGGUGAAAAUCAGCUAUAGAAAAGUCUAUUUAUAUUUACAAAUACUUGGUACCCCUUUGGAUCGUUUAUGACAUGAAAAUACGUAUUUAAUAGCUUUAUAUUAAUAAAGCGGGGUCCAAUCGGUACUGGUUUUCAAGAUAAUCAUCAAAACGGGGCUUUUUAAUCAGUCAUUAGUAUGCGGGUCCCACUGCAAUUAUUACAAGAUAAGGAUGAAUCAAAAUAUCUAGUUUCACGUUUAUCGAGACAACCAGAUAAUUAUCAACAAUUAAAAUACCCGAAAAACUCCGCCGGACCGACUACGGGGAAAACCGUACUCCGGAUCGAAAAAGUCAAAACACGAAAAAUGUCCGGAAUAUUGAAAUUAGGCUAAAGGUGAGUUUUGUUGAAACUUCCGGGAAGAAAAUUUGCUACCUCGUUACGAGUGGACGGUUUUACGGAAGUCAAAUAAUUAAUAAAUAAAUAUAAAUAUACGCAAUUAAAUCCGUAAAUCGAUUAUAAAAUCAUCUAACAUUCCAUAAAUCGAUAUGAAAAUAUCCAAAUAAACUAUAUUUUCUCCUGAGCAUAUAGAAAUUGAAAUCUCUCAAAUACGAACACAUA